rnacentral:lncRNA from 1 species
GUGGCGGCUCACCACGCUGGCCAGGAGCUUGCCUCUCCUACCAUUCCCACUCCAUGUGAUCGCUUCCCAAGGUGCCAACUCCUGGCUUUCCAUCUGGGGAACGCAGAUAUUUUUUUCAAGAGGGUGGAGGGAAAAUCAACAUGAAGAUUAAUGGACUUCAAAGCAGAAAGAGAAUGAAAAUACUGGAAACCUUUGCCUGUGAUUCAGCGUUCAGGGGCACAAGAAUACACUGGAGACAAAGAAGAAGAGCCAAGUCGAGUCUGGGGCCAGAGGAUCUGUGGCGAAUGUCACCACCUGUGACAGCGCUCUUAUUUAUGAACUGAAGAACACUCUCCAUCUUGGCCCUCUUGCCAGAAAAGUUCUUUCUCCACAGACCAACAGGAAGUUCCCUAAGUACUAUGAGACCUUGUCUUUGCCUAUAGCUGGCUGCAUUGGACAUGGAUUCCUGGCCCAAGUUCAUUAAAGAAGAUGAGGGAAAAUAAACACACAUGUACACGCACACCAGAUAAACUGAAUGCUUCCUUCUGCUGGGGACACGCUGUAGGUGAGCAAGUGCACCAAGGACAAGGCGGCCACUGAUGAAAAGGAAGGGAAAAGAGACUUCAUUUCCAUACCCACUAACCAUGCCAACAGAAGGCUUUGUGAAGAAGGAAGUAAAAGCUAUCGGUAGGAGUUAGAAAAAAACAUUUCUAGUUACAAGAACAGCAGAAAAAGACCUGAACUUCAGAGUGGACCACAAAUGAAUAUGAAUUAAUAACACAGAUCUCUUUUCAAAAGCCAACACAAAAUGAGGAUGUGUUUUUUGCAAAAGCAGUUGUUCUUGCCACUGGGCUUAUGCUUGUCAUUCUUUCAUGUGUCACAGCCAGACCUAGGAAAUUCCCUGGAAAGUCCCCUCCAUCACACACCUGCAGUUUUUCCAUUUGAGUGUAAUUCUGUUGGACCUUGAAAGACUUUUUGAUCUUUGGGACGCUCUUAUCACCAAAUGUAUCUUUCUGCAGGAAGAAGACAGAAGAAAGGGGUGGACUAUGAGAUGGGAGCCUGGGUCCCAAUUUCAGUUCAACCAUUACCAACCAGGUGGCUUUAGGCAAGUCUGGUCAUUUCCUUUGCCUCAGUGGCUUUCUAUAAAAUGGAAUUCUAUAGGGAUGAUGAAAGCGAAAACGUUAGCCACUAUGCUUGCUAGUGCUCAAGAAAUGAUUCCUUCCUGCCUGCCUGCCUCAGUUUUCCAUCUGUAAACAAGGAUUCAACUAGAACAUCUUUGAGGUUCCUUGAGCUCUAACACUCUGUGAUUCUGUUGGCAGCACCUUAAGAAAUUUACAACAAACACUCCAUUGAGUCUUAAUCUAUUAGAUCCCAUUCAGUUCUAAUAGUGUUGUGAUUUUGACUUUGUAGCCUCAUGUUUAUUUUCUCUCUUCCUGAUUUUUUAUUUAUAUAUUCUAUUUAAUAGUUUUUGCUUUUUCAAGUUGUCACCAGUUCUUUGUAGAAUAAGAAAAAAGUAUAACUAACUGGAGGAAAGAAUGCAUUCACAGAAAGCCAAGGAAUGAUAACACUAAUGCUAAUACAAUACUACUGCUAAUAAAAAUAACUGCC